rnacentral:rRNA from 1 species
UGAAUACGAGACGCUAAGGCGUUGAAGUAGUGUAUGUCAUACUUCCAAGAAAAGCUUGCACUGUCAUAGAUAAAAAACGCCUGUACCAUAACCGACACAGGUGGGUAGGUAGAGUAUACUAAGGGGCGCGAGAUAACUCUCUCUAAGGAACUCGGCAAAAUAACUCCGUAACUUCGGGAGAAGGAGUGCCUUAUUUAUAAGGCUGCAAUAACAAGAUCCAAGCAACUGUUUAUCAAAAACACAGGUCUCCGCUAAGUCGUAAGACGAUGUAUGGGGGCUGACGCCUGCCCAGUGCCAGAAGGUUAAAGAAGUUGGUUAGCAAUAGCGAAGCUGAUAACUGAAGCCCUGGUGAACGGCGGCCGUAACAAUAACGGUCCUAAGGUAGCGAAAUUCCUUGUCGGGUAAGUUCCGACCCGCACGAAAGGCGUAAUGAUUUGGAUACUGUCUCGGAGAGGGGCUCGGUGAAAUAGACUUGUCUGUGAAGAUGCGGACUACCUGCACCAGGACAGAAAGACCCUAUGAAGCUUUACUGUAACUUGAAAUUGAAAUUGGACUUUAUUCGCGCAGUAUAGGUGGGAGGCGUUGAUUGUAAUCUUGCGGGAUUAUUGGAGCCAUCAGUGAGAUACCACCCUUGUAAUGUUAGAUUUCUAACUUUGAAUCAUUAUCUGGUCAAGGAACAGUUUCAGGCGGGCAGUUUGACUGGGGCGGUCGCCUCCUAAACGGUAACGGAGGCGUACAAAGGUUUCCUCUGAACGGUUAGAAAUCGUAUCUAGAGUGUAAAGGCAUAAGGAAGCUUGACUGUGAGACCUACAAGUCGAGCAGGGACGAAAGUCGGUCUUAGUGAUCUGACGGUACUGAGUGGAAAGGCCGUCACUCAACGGAUAAAAGUUACUCUAAGGAUAACAGGCUGAUCUCCCCCAAGAGUUCACAUCGACGGGGAGGUUUGGCACCUCGAUGUCGGCUCAUCGCAUCCUGGGGCGGUAGUACGUCCCAAGGGUUGGGCUGUUCGCCCAUGAAAGCGGUACGCGAGCUGGGUUCAGAACGUCGUGAGACAGUUCGGUCCAUAUCCGGUGUAGGCGUUAGAAUAUUGAGAGGACCCUUCUUUAGUACGAGAGGACCGAGAAGGACAUACCUCUGGUGUACCAGUUAUCGUGCCAACGGUAAACGCUGGGUAGCUAUGUAUGGAGUGGAUAACCGCUGAAAGCAUCUAAGUGGGAAGCCCACCUCAAGAUAAGUAUUCUCAC